rnacentral:rRNA from 1 species
GAUGAACGCUGGCGGCGUGCCUAAUACAUGCAAGUCGAGCGAAUGGAUUAAGAGCUUGCUCUUAUGAAGUUAGCGGCGGACGGGUGAGUAACACGUGGGUAACCUGCCCAUAAGACUGGGAUAACUCCGGGAAACCGGGGCUAAUACCGGAUAACAUUUUGAACCGCAUGGUUCGAAAUUGAAAGGCGGCUUCGGCUGUCACUUAUGGAUGGACCCGCGUCGCAUUAGCUAGUUGGUGAGGUAACGGCUCACCAAGGCAACGAUGCGUAGCCGACCUGAGAGGGUGAUCGGCACCACAGGGACUGAGACACGGCCCAGACUCCUGCGGGAGGCAGCAGUAGGGAAUCUUCCGCAAUGGACGAAAGGCUGACGGAGCAACGCCGCGUGAGUGAUGAAGGCUUUCGGGUCGUAAAACUCUGUUGUUAGGGAAGAACAAGUGCUAGUUGAAUAAGCUGGCACCUUGACGGUACCUAACCAGAAAGCCACGGCUAACUACGUGCCAGCAGCCGCCGCAG